rnacentral:tRNA from 1 species
UCCCUGGUGGCUCAGAGGUUAAAGCGUCUGCCUCCAAUGCAGGAGACCUGGGUUUGAUCUCUGGGUUGGGAA